rnacentral:lncRNA from 1 species
GCCCCGACACCAAUUAAGGUCUGGUCAUUCAAGACCAGAUGGAAAAAAGGGGACCUUCCUAGUGGCCCCUUCGUAAGAAGACUUCGUCCGGACUCCUACGGGAGCCGGACUUCGCCCUCGACUUUGAUCGCAAGAAGACUCCGCCGGGACUCCUACGGAAGCCGGACUUCGCCCCUAACUUCAAUCGCAGGUAGACUUCAUCCA